GACGAACGCUGGCGGCGUGCUUAACACAUGCAAGUCGAACGGAAAGGCCCUGCUUUUGUGGGGUGCUCGAGUGGCGAACGGGUGAGUAACACGUGAGUAACCUGCCCUUGACUUUGGGAUAACUUCAGGAAACUGGGGCUAAUACCGGAUAGGAGCUCCUGCUGCAUGGUGGGGGUUGGAAAGUUUCGGCGGUUGGGGAUGGACUCGCGGCUUAUCAGCUUGUUGGUGGGGUAGUGGCUUACCAAGGCUUUGACGGGUAGCCGGCCUGAGAGGGUGACCGGCCACAUUGGGACUGAGAUACGGCCCAGACUCCUACGGGAGGCAGCAGUGGGGAAUAUUGCACAAUGGGCGGAAGCCUGAUGCAGCAACGCCGCGUGCGGGAUGACGGCCUUCGGGUUGUAAACCGCUUUCGCCUGUGACGAAGCGUGAGUGACGGUAAUGGGUAAAGAAGCACCGGCUAACUACGUGCCAGCAGCCGCGGUGAUACGUAGGGUGCGAGCGUUGUCCGGAUUUAUUGGGCGUAAAGGGCUCGUAGGUGGUUGAUCGCGUCGGAAGUGUAAUCUUGGGGCUUAACCCUGAGCGUGCUUUCGAUACGGGUUGACUUGAGGAAGGUAGGGGAGAAUGGAAUUCCUGGUGGAGCGGUGGAAUGCGCAGAUAUCAGGAGGAACACCAGUGGCGAAGGCGGUUCUCUGGGCCUUUCCUGACGCUGAGGAGCGAAAGCGUGGGGAGCGAACGGGCUUAGAUACCCUGGUAGUCCACGCUGUAAACGGUGGGUACUAGGUGUGGGGUCCAUUCCACGGGUUCCGCGCCGUAGCUAACGCUUUAAGUACCCCGCCUGGGGAGUACGGCCGCAAGGCUAAAACUCAAAGGAAUUGACGGGGCCCCGCACAAGCGGCGGAGCAUGCGGAUUAAUUCGAUGCAACGCGUAGAACCUUACCUGGGUUUGACAUGGAUCGGGAGUGCUCAGAGAUGGGUGUGCCUCUUUUGGGGUCGGUUCACAGGUGGUGCAUGGCUGUCGUCAGCUCGUGUCGUGAGAUGUUGGGUUAAGUCCGCAACGAGCGCAACCCUUGUUCACUGUUGCCAGCACGUUAUGGUGGGGACUCAGUGGAGACCGCCGGGGUCAACUCGGAGGAAGGUGGGGAUGACGUCAAGUCAUCAUGCCCCUUAUGUCCAGGGCUUCACGCAUGCUACAAUGGCUGGUACAGAGAGUGGCGAGCCUGUGAGGGUGAGCGAAUCUCGGAAAGCCGGUCUCAGUUCGGAUUGGGGUCUGCAACUCGACCUCAUGAAGUCGGAGUCGCUAGUAAUCGCAGAUCAGCAACGCUGCGGUGAAUACGUUCCCGGG
rnacentral:rRNA from 1 species